ensembl:piRNA 21ur-4710 ncRNA
UGAAAUGAUUAUCUUUAUUUC